AACGAACGCUGGCGGCAGGCUUAACACAUGCAAGUCGAGCGCCCCGCAAGGGGAGCGGCAGACGGGUGAGUAACACGUGGGGAUCUGCCCAAUGGUACGGAAUAGCUCCGGGAAACUGGAAAUAAUACCGUAUGUGCCCGCAAGGGGAAAGAUUUAUCGCCAUUGGAUGAACCCGCGUAGGAUCAGCUAGUUGGGGUGGGAAAGGCGAAACAAGGCGACGACCCGUCGCUGGUCUGAGAGGAUGAUCAGCCACACUGGGACUGAGACACGGCCCAGACUCCUAAGGGAGGCAGCAGUGGGGAAUAUUGGACAAUGGGCGCAAGCCUGAUCCAGCCAUGCCGCGUGAGUGAUGAAGGCCUUAGUGUUGUAAAGCUCUUUCGCCGACGAAGAUAAUGACGGUAGUCGGAGAAGAAGCCCCGGCUAACUUCGUGCCAGCAGCCGCCGUAACAC
rnacentral:rRNA from 1 species